rnacentral:rRNA from 1 species
GAUGAACGCUGGCGGCGUGCUUAACACAUGCAAGUCGAGCGAGAAGUUUUGAAAAGAUUCUUCGGAUGAAAUUUAAAAUGGAAAGCGGCGGACGGGUGAGUAACGCGUAGGCAACCUGCCCCAUCCAAAGGGAUAGCAUUUGGAAACGAAUAUUAAUACCUUAUGAAACUUAACUAGUGCAUGCUAGGUAGGUCAAAGAUUUAUCGGUAUGGGAUGGGCCUGCGUCUGAUUAGCUAGUUGGUGAGGUAACGGCUAACCAAGGCGACGAUCAGUAGCCGACCUGAGAGGGUGAACGGCCAAAUCGGAACGGAGACACCGUUCAAACUCCUACGGGAGGCAGCAGAGGGGAAUAGUGCACAAUGGGGGAAAGCCUUAUGCAGCAACGCCGCGUGAACGAUGGAUGCCUUUGGGGCGUAAAUUUCUGUUCUAGUUGAUGAAAACUGACAGUAACCUAGGAGAAAGCCCCGGCUAACUACGUG